CCCUGGUAGUCCACGCCGUAAACGAUGUCGAUUUGGAGGUUGUGCCCUUGAGGCGUGGCUUCCGGAGCUAACGCGUUAAAUCGACCGCCUGGGGAGUACGGCCGCAAGGUUAAAACUCAAAUGAAUUGACGGGGGCCCGCACAAGCGGUGGAGCAUGUGGUUUAAUUCGAUGCAACGCGAAGAACCUUACCUGGUCUUGACAUCCACAGAACUU
rnacentral:rRNA from 1 species